AGGGUCGAAGCUGUUAGGGUAGGGGCUAGCAGCAGGGAACAGGGCAGGGUUAAUGGUCACAAGACACAGACUCAAAACACUGGGACUGGACUCACUUCCGUGUGACGAGGCAGUAUUUCAACCUGGACUCUAUUCAGAAGGCUAAUACCGUGGUGGAUGAAUAUUCUGUUUGUGUGUAUCAUGGUCCUGCAUUCACCUCACCUUUUCCAUCAUUUGUUGUCGACACGUAUCGGGAACGUAUUGAAAGCAGCUUUCUGUUCUUGUGGAGACACUCAGAGACACGUGAAUUCAGUAUCUUUCUCCUGUCUCAUCAUUAACAGAAGGGGAAAUGGCAAAACCCCCUCCAUCCCCUAUCACUUCAGUAUCAUCCCCUACCACUCCAGUAUUUUUUACCCGGAUCAGUGAUCGGGACCUAACUGAGAUCGAGCUACAUUCAGUGGAGUCCAUCAACGACCUAUACCGAACCCACCCAGAAUACAACCACAAAGGCAGCAGACGACCUCCUCUUCCUCCUGCUCCCUCCACCAAUGGAAACCCCCAUCUCAGGGACAGACCAGUGGUCUGUCAGACGGGGCAUCCAAUGACAAGUCGAUGGCAGAGGACGUUCCGAGACCUGUUGACGCCCACCUCGUUUCGAUGCACCUGCAGCAGGGCAGCACUCUCCGGUCCCUAACUAAGGCAGUGAGGGAGAGACAGGCUGCAGCCCUAGAGAUCUCCCAACUCAUCCAGGAGCUGCAGGCGCUGCGCCAUAACCUCUCAGCCAUCACAGGAGGAGUCUGAGGAGCAGAGGUCAGAGGUCACUGAAAGGAGAGGUCACUGAAAGGAACACCCUUCACCCCCUGGCCCCUGAGGGACCUGUCCUACAGGCCCCAUGGAUAAUGAGACUGUUACACCAACAUCAAGUCAAAUCCCUUCCCUGCACAUGGUUUUGGAACAUGGGCCCAUCCAGAAACAACUCCUAGCCCCUACUCCCAUAUGAGCAGAGCCCAGGUGCUAUAAAACCCACAGAGAAUGUUUCCUUAUACUGGAUAUUUAUACGUUUGAUUUGGUAGACAUAUAACACAAAGAAGAGACUCAUACAGUAUGAAUGCAGGGUUCUGAACACUUUAUAGCAUCUAUAGGAACCACACUCUUGAACUGACAAUGAAUGUACUCACAACUGCACUGGGAUACAGACAUGGUUCAGGUUCGAUUUGAUCUAACUUUUAGAGGUGGUAUUCUUUUGCAUUUAUGCAUUUGACAGGAAAUGUAUUUUGAAAUGCCACACCCAUUUUGUUACUGAAACACUGUGCCGAUUUGGGAAAUUCUGUCUGACUAUCACAACUUCAACAUGUCACGAGUGGAAUCGAAUUGUGUUUAAUGAGUACGCCGAGGAAGUGCCUUAACAUGGCAACUGCCACUGUUCUCAAUUUGAUACACUUGGUGAAUUGCAAUGAGGCCACUGUACAACAACUAAAUAAACAAGAGGUAUUAUUAUAUUAUA